rnacentral:rRNA from 1 species
AUCCUGGCUCAGGAUGAACGCUAGCGGCAGGCUUAAUACAUGCAAGUCGUGGGGCAGCAUGAGUAGCAAUACUUGAUGGCGACCGGCAAACGGGUGAGGAACACGUACACAACCUUCCUUCAAGCGGGGAAUAGCCCAGAGAAAUUUGGAUUAAUACCCCAUAAUAUAUUUGAUAAGGCAUCUUAUUAAUAUUAAAGUUUCGGCACUUGAUGAUGGGUGUGCGGCUGAUUAGAUAGUUGGCGGGGUAACGGCCCACCAAGUCUACGAUCAGUAGCUGAUGUGAGAGCAUGAUCAGCCACACGGGCACUGAGACACGGGCCCGACUCCUACGGGAGGCAGCAGUAAGGAAUAUUGGACAAUGGACGAAAGUCUGAUCCAGCCAUGCCCGCGUGAAGGAUUAAGGUCCUCUGGAUUGUAAACUUCUUUUAUAUGGGACGAAAAAAGGGCAUUCUUGUUCACUUGACGGUACCAUAUGAAUAAGCACCGGCUAACUCCGUG